GUUCCCCGCAGCUCAGCCCCAGGAGCAAAUAAAGCUUGGGCUUUUGAUGCUUGCUGUUUCUGCUUGGAAACCUAGGGUUUUCACCUACCUGGUAGUGACAUUUGAGUGGGAAUCUGCACUCAUCUAAACUGAGUCUCCCACUUCUCAUUUCAAUUUUGUAUUCCCAUGAAUCUCAGGCAAUUGUUGGAACAGUUUUCUUGCACCAAUAUUUCUAAUCGCAUGUCUUAAGGUGUUGGCUUGUGUUUUUUUGUUGUAGGGGGAAGAACGUUCGCAAGGCUAGGAUUUGGAAUUUGACCCAAAAACUAGCGUUACUUUUUUUUGUCAUUCAAGUAUUUGAAGCAUUGCAGCUUUUCCACUGAAAAUGCUAACCAUGGGAACCACUGUGCUCGGCCUUUUGCAUGAGAUGGUCCUCUUAUUCCCUGAUUCCUACGAUGCCAGACCCAGUGGCUCACCAAUCUAUGACCUGGACACACAGGUCAGGGAAAUGGAAGUUUGUUGCUGAGCACUGGUGUCUGGAGGGACUGGCUGUGACUGCAAAUAGCUGUACAUCACGUCCAUGCUGCUGCUGUUAUAGUCUGAAUGGGAAUGGAUGGUGAAGAAGACUGGAUCCCUGCACCCUCCCCAGGGACCAACACCUACUUUCCCUUGGCCAAACCAUGUUCAGGUUGGGUGGAGAGUACCAGAUAUAUACACCAAAGGACAGAGUGACCACUGGCUGUAUCUCUUCUUGGUCAGCUCUUCAGUUUAUAUUAUAGCUCCUUAUCUACACCUCACUUAAAGAAGUCAUUACUCUUCUUUUUAUCUCCUAACAAUACAGACAAUUUCACCUUCUGCAUUUUAUAUGGUACUGUCAGCACCCUCUCAUAUUUUUGAUUUCAAGAGCUUUCUCUGAACCUUUUAAUUUCCAAGACUGGAAAUCUUAUUCAGACAAUAAUUCACUCUUUAAAUCUCUCUGCCCAUAUAUUCAAUGCUGUAAUCCAAUGUAUCCCAUUUUUGCAUCUCUUCCUAGAUCUUCCUUCAGAGCCUAUCUUUUUUACUUUUACUUUUCUUUUAAUAUGCAAAAGAAUAAUUUGAAUGGUCUUUUCAGGUUUUGGGAGUUUUUUUCUUACUUUCAAAAGAUGCAAGAUAGAUUUGCCAUGGAAUGACCUAGAGUAUGAUGCAAGCACGCUAAUGUCGUCCGAUGCCUGUGAAACCAGAUAUUUCCUCCUGUGUCCCAUGCUACAGAUGAGAAGACCAAAGGUAGGUGUCCUGUAGCUUGAUGGUAAUUUCCGGUGGGCACCGUUAGAGGAAAGUAGUUUCUUAUUUUCUGUCAAGUCUACCCUCAAGAAUGGAAAACAUUUUCCAUUAUUUUUUAACUCACUGGCAGGAUUUCUUCCCAUUUACCCUUACACACAUGCAUGCACACAUGCAGAACAAAAUAACUGUGUUAUGGGUCUAAUGCUACUGAGGAAUCAGGCACUUGUCACUCUUUUCGGACAGAUUCAGUCGUGAAUCUGAGUUCCUGUGAUGACUGAUGACUACUGCUUUAAGCCAUAUGCUAUAUUCAGAAUCAAUAUUUUAUAUUUAUGGCUUCCUGUAUUGAAUUCUUACGUUUUU
ensembl:lncRNA